AAAUUGACAAUGAUGGGAAGAAACCAGACUAAAAAUGCUGAGAAUACCCAAAAUCAGAAUGCCUCUCCCUCUACGGGGGAUCACAGUUCUUCAUCAGCACAAAGCCUGAUGGAGAAAGACUGUGUUCCAUUAACAGAAGCA